rnacentral:sRNA from 1 species
GGGAAACUUUAUUGCUGAUGCCACCCGCCGCGCAAUUGAAAUAAAAAAACCCGAUGCGCAGAUCAUCGGGUUCAUUUCA